UGGGGAAUUUUGGACAAUGGGCGCAAGCCUGAUCCAGCAAUGCCGCGUGCAGGAUGAAGGCCUUCGGGUUGUAAACUGCUUUUGUACGGAGCGAAAAGGUCUGCCCUAAUACGGUGGGCUCAUGACGGUACCGUAAGAAUAAGCACCGGCUAACUACGUGCCAGCAGCCGCGGUAAUACGUAGGGUGCGAGCGUUAAUCGGAAUUACUGGGCGUAAAGCGUGCGCAGGCGGUUAUAUAAGACAGAUGUGAAAUCCCCGGGCUCAACCUGGGACCUGCAUUUGUGACUGUAUAGCUAGAGUACGGUAGAGGGGGAUGGAAUUCCACGUGUAGCAGUGAAAUGCGUAGAUAUGCGGAGGAACACCGAUGGCGAAGGCAAUCCCCUGGACCUGUACUGACGCUCAUGCACGAGAGCGUGGGGAGCAAACA
rnacentral:rRNA from 1 species